rnacentral:lncRNA from 1 species
ACAGACGGAUACUACAACUAUAAUGGACAUAAAUUGACAGAUUUAGGCCUAGUUUGCACUAUUUUAGUCGAGUAUGAACGAUUUUUGGGCAUAGAUUUACGAUUCGGUACAUGUACCUAAUAGAUCGGUGAUGCGAAAGAGACAACGUUAUGAAAACCGUAUGUUAGAGGGAAAUAGACAACAAGACAACAGUAAAAUACCAUAAGGCCAACGAGGCCUUAUGAGUAAGAGCGCGCAAUUUAAAUACAGCUGUUUUUUUAUCCAGUUUUCAUAUUACAAGUGUAAAAUAAUGUGUAUUUGGUAGAACAACUGAAGUGUUAUAGUGUGCAGUGCCUGGAUGUAGAUCAUUGAAAGAGAAAACCCCCAAAAUUCUACUUUUUACGAAUUCCCGCAAAAUAAAGUUGUUCGAUAGAUAUGGCUCAAAAUAAUCCAGGGAAGGCAGGAUUUCCACGAUUUAUUUAAAAAUAUGCAGUAUAUUAAAACAAAAUGUUUUUCUUAUAACACCACACAAAGAGCAAAACUGCGUUCUGGUACUGUACCAACAUUAUUAAUGCCGAUCAUUAUACCUGUCCCAAGGACGACCACAUAAGAGAUGGGAGGAUGACCUGCCGAAAGGAUGGCGAGGAAAGGCCAGAGAUCGAGUAAAGUGGAAAAGUCUGGAGGAGGCCUAUGUUGAAGGACAACCUGAUUGCUCUGGUGUAUAAAUUAAGUAAUAGUAUUAGGUAUAUCAUAUGUAUUCAGCAGUCAGAGAAUAAAGGCUAUUUUUAUUUAUUUUAUUUUAUUUUAUACCUGUCCUAAGGCUGAGUCUAUGAGGCUAAUGAUGUGAAUGCCCCGAUCGAGAAAACCAUUUGACGCUCUUUUACUUACAUAUCCUACUAAUAUUAUAAUUGUGAAAGUCUGUUGUUAUUCUUAAUUCUCUAUGUGUGAAGCCAAUCCACAUUUAGCAAG